rnacentral:rRNA from 1 species
UGAACGCGAAGAACCUUACCAGGCCUUGACAUCCCCCUGGAUAUCCGGUAAUGCGGAUAGGCCUUCGGGACAGGGGAGACAGGUGGUGCAUGGUUGUCGUCAGCUCGUGUCGUGAGAUGUUGGGUUAAGUCCCGCAACGAGCGCAACCCUUGUCAUURGUUSCCWUCAUUAAGUUGGGCACUCUAAUGAGACUGCCGGUGACAAACCGGAGGAAGGUGGGGAUGACGUCAAGUCAUCAUGCCCCUUAUGACCUGGGCUACACACGUGCUACAAUGGACGGUACAACGAGAAGCGAACCUGCGAAGGCAAGCGGAUCUCUUAAAGCCGUUCUCAGUUCGGACUGUAGGCUGCAACUCGCCUACACGAAGCUGGAAUCGCUAGUAAUCGCGGAUCAGCACGCCGCGGUGAAUACGUUCCCGGGUCUUGUACACACCG